rnacentral:rRNA from 1 species
UAAGGAAUAUUGGUCAAUGGACGCAAGUCUGAACCAGCCAUGCCGCGUGAAGGAUGAAGGUCCUCUGGAUUGUAAACUUCUUUUAUCUGGGACGAAAACGGGAUUUUUAUCUCAAUUGACGGUACCAGAGGAAUAAGCACCGGCUAACUCCGUGCCAGCAGCCGCGGUAAUACGUAGGGGGCAAGCGUUGUCCGGAUUUACUGGGUGUAAAGGGCGCGCAGGCGGGAUAAAAAGUCAGUGGUGAAAUCCUACAGCUUAACUGUAGAACUGCCUUUGAUACUUUUAUUCUUGACUUCGGGAGAGAGAGACGGAAUUCCAGGUGUAGUGGUGAAAUACGUAGAUAUCUGGAAGAACACCAGUUGCGAAGGCGGUCUCUUGGUCCGACACUGACGCUGAGGCGCGAAAGCGUGGGGAGCAAACA